GAUGAACGCUGGCGGCGUGCCUAAUACAUGCAAGUCGAGCGAACGGACGAGAAGCUUGCUUCUCUGAUGUUAGCGGCGGACGGGCGGGUAACACGUGGAUAACCUACUUAUAAGACUGGGAUAACUUCGGGAAACCGUAGCUAAUACCGGCUAAUAUUUUGAACCGCAUGGUUCAAAAGUGAAAGACGGUCUUGCUGUCACUUAUAGCUGGAUCCGCGCUGGAUUAGCUAGUUGGUAAGGUAACGGCUUACCAAGGCGACGAUGCGUAGCCGACCUGAGAGGAUGAUCGGCCACACUGGAACUGAGACACGGUCCAGACUCCUACGGGAGGCAGCAGUAGGGAAUCUUCCACAAUGGGCGAAAGCCUGACGGAGCAACGCCGCGUGAGUGAUGAAGGUCUUCGGAUCGUAAAACUCUGUUAUUAGGGAAGAACAGAUGUGUAAGUAACUGUGCACGUCUUGACGGUACCUAAUCAGAAAGCCACGGCUAACUACGUG
rnacentral:rRNA from 1 species